AUCCGGGUAGUGCCCGGUGAAGAUGGUCGGCCGACUGGGCACACA
rnacentral:sRNA from 24 species